ACCGCGCGACAGCGGCGCGGCUCGGCCCGGCCGCUCCGGCACUGAGCGCGGGGCGGGGGCGGAGGCGGCGCGGCGCCAUCUUGCGCGGCGUUAACCGCUUGUGUGCCGGCUGCCCGGCGCUCGGCCUGCCGCAUCGCGGAGCUUUCCCGCGUCCCGCGGGGCCCUCGCGCUUACUGUGGUUUUGUAGCUACUGCGACGUGCAAAUAAAAGUGUUUGUCUGAGAGAACAGAGCUGGCGGGUCUGCUGCUGUUGGCCUGAGGAGAGUGUGUGUAAAGGUCGCACGGGCUCUGGAGCAUGAGUUCAAAGCAAGUGCAAAUAGCGCUAUUAAUCUGCACCGCACCACGCAAAUAAGGCCGCGGUCAGAAAAGGACUGCCAGAAGUGAAUUAUUAACUGUAAAGCCAACACACGGUACACACCGGGCACCUGAGGUCAGCGGUCCGCUGUCACUGUUUGUGCAGCUGAAUGGAGCUGCUGCCCAUGAGCCAAGCUGGGUGACCCACCUGGCACCCCGAGGUCCCACAGGCCACCAGUGCCCCGGGCGGCUGCUAAGGCCAACAUACCCAGCCUGCCCUGAGCCACUGCAGUCGUGCAGCUCAGUCUUGCUGAGGCUGGUAACGUGUUUAGUUAGUUGCAGUGUGCUACUGCUGGCCAUGGUAAUGAAAAGUAAUUGUUCCAGUCUCAAAAAUGUUUGCAAUUCUUAGAAGAAAACACAUGAAGAGUUGCUCAAGGAUAUGGCAGAGUACUUGUGUGAAGGCAGGGUUCACAUGAGCACAGGGAAAAAACACCUGGCCUAAAAUUCAAGUACAAGAUCUCCUUCACAUUCACUUCUCCUGUUCUUAUCAUGCUUUCAGAGGCCAGAUUUGUUCAGCUUAAUAUUUAGCUACUUAUCCUGCCAAAACAAAGAAUGCUUUAUUCUUGCUUUGGAAGACCACAGUGUAUAUAGUUUCCCCCUAUAACUCUGAGUUAAUUGAAGACAGGGUUGUCUCAGAACAUUUCAGGCCUUGGAUGGUCUAGAAGUACCCAUUUGCACUGCCAUUAAUGGUUCUGAAUGCCCCACAUCAGGUUAAGAAACGUGAAAGAAGUCUUGAGAAAAGGAUGGAGACUCAGAGUACUGUACCAAACAGAGGUCCUAGGAACAGAGAUGAAAACCAAAUCUCAGAAUGGUCUGAAUUAUGUGCCUUGACUUAAAAGAUGAGUUCUCAGUCGUGGCAAACCCAAAGAGAGGUGGAAAUCCAUGUUAUAGGUGUCAUUAGUAAUCAGCGUUGCUGUAAACAGUGCUAUUGAUUUUAAUAAAUGCAAAAUCUCAGCACAGCAGGAAAAUAUUUGUUAUGAUAAAGUAUACAUAAUAUAUGUUAUAAUAUAUAAAGUGUAUAUAUAUAUCUGCAUACUUUAUAUAUUUUUAUCUACAUACUCUAUAUGCUUUAUCAUAACAGAUAUAUUUAUAUAUAUAUACAAAUUUUAUGCCUAAAAUUAGCAUGUGACAUCUCUAGAUAGCAUCUUAAGUCUCUCACUUCUGGAAAGCAUCUCUACUCAAGAGAGAAUUCAGAUGUGUUAGAUUUAAACAUAAGGGAAAGGGCUUUCCUGAUUUUAGGCAUUAGCAAUGUGUUCUUCAAAAAUGUUUAGCCUCCUGGGGGACUGAAUGUAUCAGUUAAGAGGUCCUGGGAUUCCCAGUUUAGAUUAUUUCAGAAAAUUUUGGCCCAUUUUUCAUUUAUAGUUACACACGAAAAUACACGUUCCAUUACAUAUAUAGAAGAUAUGUAUUGCUUACAAGUAUAUAACUAGCAGCUCUGAGUCCAAACUUUUAGCAAUUAUAAGUCAAAAUGAAGUCAUGUCUUACAAGUGAACUCAUACAGUUUUCAUGCGUUUGGGGCUGUUUUUGAAUUAUUUGAAGUCUGAAAGAAGUUUUUUGUUUAAUUGAAUCAAUGGUACUAUAAUACAUACAGGUUAUCUAAUCCAAUGCGAACAAAACUGCGGAGGUAAAAGCCUUAUUCAGAACUGCUCUUCACACAGGCAGAUAAUGUUUUAAUGCAUAUAAGCACAUAUAUUUACAUAUAUGGCAAAAGAACACUGAAAUCAGAAUUUUAACAUUAGCCAGUCUCUUUCAGGCAAGUGUUCAGUGCUACGCUUCUGAAUAAUUGUCUUCCCUUGAGACUGGUAUUUGCUUUAGUUAUCGCUUUAGUUAUUAACUUCUACAAUCCUGUUUUCAAAUGUGACAGCAGUGUUUGGAUCAAGUUCAACUCUGAAUUCAUUCCAGUAAUGCCAGCAUAGUUUGCAUGAUCUUUUCUAUAUUUGUGUGCAGCCGUGGGUUUUUGAUGUAUGCACAAACCAUGUCUAGCAAUAGAUGAAAUUGUGUCUAUCAGUAUUGGUGUCAUGGCAUUGAGGGAAUGAUUUCUUAUGUCGCUCAUUUUCUCCAAGACCCUCUGUGAUAGCACGAUGAGAUAAGAAUACAUUGUCAACUGCAAGUCCAAAUUUUCUGCCCCUUUUCUUGUUCAAAAGCAGGCAAUUUUAAUUUGGCAAGCUCUGUACAAAUCCAAUCACCAUUUGGAACUCCAGGAGGAUUGUUCUACCUUGAUGAGUAACAAGAUACAUUGGAAUGUGCUUGGGAUUGUUCUUUCAGCCCUGGCAGAUCAUAAAGUGUGCUUCAAUGGAAGAUCUUGUUCUCAGCUUCUUAGCUGUGUUUGGUUCAUGUCCUCAGUAGCCACAUUUUACAAACUUUGCCUGAAUAGUUGCCUUGACCCUUCAGACCUCUAGGCUGUCCUGUAUGAGCUGGUGUACACCUCGUUGAAUCAGCCACAGGAUCAGCCACAUUAUGCUCCUGAAGGGACAGCCAGGAGUUGUAUGUUUAACUCUGGAAAAUAACUGAUGUGCCGGGAGAGAGUUACACACUACCACUUGUUUGCAGUGACCAUUCUACCACUGUGAUGCCAGAAGCCUCCUGCCUUCGGAAGUUAUGAAAUAGACUGAUCCUGCGCCACGGUAGUUAUGUGCAACAAAGCCUGAUUUCUAUGGACUUUCAAGGAAGUAAUUGAGCAAAUAAUUCAGCUCUGAGAAUGUGAGAGCAAUGACAAAUCUUACUGGGUUAGAGGCAAUUGUAGGUGACAAGCUGUUUUACAAUGAAGCCACUUGUAUUCAGAACUUCUGAUCCUGGUUGACGAGUGUAAUUUUAGCUACACAGGCUUAAAGUUUUUAAUUUAAAUUCAGGAGGGGCUUACCCACUGAAUUUCUCUUGUGGAAAUGGAUUUCCAGGCUGGGAAAAACUCUAGCUCUUAGGCAGUUUUCCCAUUUACUAAGUAUAGCUGUUCAUUUUAAUUUGCAUAAAGAACAUGGAUAUGUAAGUCUCCAAUUACUUUAAAAGCAGUAUUUCAACAGAUACAGUGAAGUAAUUAGUUUAAUGAGGAAAUGUCAUUACAUAGUGGAAAGCUUGGUUUGCCAAGGAUCAAUUUGUUGACAUUUGAAUCCAACUAGAAAUGAAAUGCACAGAACAAAAAGUAAACGAUUUUAGUAAAAGCCACCUCGUCCGUUUGGAACAAAUGGAAAGUAUGUCUGCUUCUCCACCAGAGGGGCUAAGUAAGGGGUUUUUCUGCAUUAGAAGUCUUACAAAUGAUCAUUUAAAAUAUGAAGAGAGUAGGAAAGUUUAUUGUGCAAACGUGGGGAGUCAACAAGUUCCUUUUGUGAAAAGUAGAAUAAUUAUUUCCAGAAUACAUUUUUCCUAUAUAUAAAAUGAGGAUAUUUAUUACUUACAUCUUUUCAGAAUUGUGAAGCCUAAUUCAGAAACAUCUGGUAAUGUCUCUGAAAUUCGCAAUCAGGGCAGCAAAUAUCCUAACUUUUAUAUCUGGAUUUCAUUUGCUUGACUGUUAACCAUUAUUGAUACGCUGUCAUAUAAAUUCUUCGUAUCUCCCAUACAAAUAAAGCACAAGAUAUUGCUCUAAGAACUUUCCUGUCUAUACUGGAGAUUACAGCAGUAAUAAAUCAAGUUAUAACAACGAAAAAUAACUACAUAGGAAAGCAGUAAAGAAUAUAGCCAUGAGAGGUAACAAAACAGUUUCUGUUAUGUACAUAUUUUAUUAGUCCACCCAAAUAGCCGAAAUGGCAAGAUGCCUUUUACCAGGAAGAAGGCAGUCUUCCUCGGUGUACAAAAUGAAUGUGAACACUGCUGAUACAGCAGGCAAAUGUGGAAUUACCUUAAAUGUCUACAACACAGUGAUUUUCAGUUCUUGAAAAUUACAUUCUUGA